AGUCCAGACUCCUACGGGAGGCAGCAGUUAGGAAUAUUCGUCAAUGGGGGAAACCCUGAACGAGCAAUGCCGCGUGAACGAUGACGGUCCUCUGGAUUGUAAAGUUCUGUUGUUUGGGAAGAACGGCUCUAAUAGGAAAUGAUUAGAGAUUGACUGUACCAUUCAAGAAAGCCACGGCUAACUACGUGCCAGCAGCCGCGGUAAUACGUAGGUGGCGAGCGUUAUCCGGAUUCACUGGGCGUAAAGGGAGCGCAGGCGGCAUGGCAAGUCUGAUGUGAAAACCCGGGGCCCAACCCCGGGAGUGCAUUGGAAACUGCCAGGCUGGAGUGUCGGAGGGGUAAGCGGAAUUCCUAGUGUAGCGGUGAAAUGCGUAGAUAUUAGGAGGAACACCAGUGGCGAAGGCGGCUUACUGGACGACUACUGACGCUGAGGCUCGAAAGCGUGGGGAGCAAACAGGAUUAGAUACCCCCGUAG
rnacentral:rRNA from 1 species